UACGUAGGGUGCGAGCGUUAAUCGGAAUUACUGGGCGUAAAGCGUGCGCAGGCGGUUCGUUAAGUCAGAUGUGAAAGCCCCGGGCUCAACCUGGGAACUGCAUUUGAAACUGGCGGGUUUGAGUGUGGCAGAGGGGGGUGGAAUUCCGCGUGUAGCAGUGAAAUGCGUAGAGAUGCGGAGGAACACCGAUGGCGAAGGCAGCCCCCUGGGCCAACACUGACGCUCAGGCACGAAAGCGUGGGGAGCAAACAGG
rnacentral:rRNA from 1 species